rnacentral:lncRNA from 9 species
AGAUGAGUGAGGCAGAGAAUUAUGCAUGUCGGUCUGUGGGAGCGUGGCAGAGGUCAGCAUGACCUGGAGGGGAUUCAAUAAGGCUUGAAGGAUAACGAGCAUUCAGUGUGGACCCUGAAUGAGAGAACAGGUUGGAACUUGUGAGAUUAGGGGGAAGGAAGCAAUUUCCCUCGACCUCGCCACGCUCUUCUGACUGGCGUGACAAUGAAAUCGACAGGAGACCGAUGAACAGGAGAGAAAUCACCCAAAAAUUUAAUCACAGGAAAGAAGGACAAGGAAGGAGGUGGACCAGCAGGAGAGACGCGGCAGAGGAACUGCUCCCCUGGACCCCUUGGCCACGAAGAGGCACAGCUUCUACCUCAUGGAGAAUCGAUGCAAAGUGGAUUUACGGGGACGUAAGACCGUGGGCCUCGACGCAAAGGACAAAGUUAGUGUCUUUAAUCUGCAUUCGGGGAAUUCUCCAUCCCGCACCGGCUGAGUCCAGAGAAACUGGAAAACGGAAAAAGAGGACUCUAGGAAAUUCCCAAUAGGGAACAAUGCGUCUGCUUCAGAGUGUCAACGUGAAAAGCUGCCAUCAGCAAGGAGAAUCUUCCUAAAACAGGUGAGAAAGGGUCUUGGAGAAAAAAUUUUUGUACAACAACAAUGUCUACCCUAUGGUACACCCAAUAUUUGAUAAACAGUGAAAUGCAGGGAAAUAGACCUGAAAAUUCAGGUACAAAGGAAUUGCGACAUUUUUGGAUAAAAAUGCAUUGAACAUCUUGCAAAUACUCAAGAUAGGUCUAACCAGGUAUUUCCCCUGCCUUAAAAAAUCG